GAUGAACGCUAGCUACAGGCUUAACACAUGCAAGUCGAGGGGUAGCAGGGUAGCAAUACCGCUGACGACCGGCGCACGGGUGAGUAACACGUAUCCAACCUUCCCAUAACUCUGGGAUAGCCUUUCGAAAGAAAGAUUAAUACCGGAUGGUACUUUUUCAAGGCAUCUUGAGAAAGUUAAAGAUUUAUUGGUUAUGGAUGGGGAUGCGUUCCAUUAGAUAGUUGGUGAGGUAACGGCUCACCAAGUCUUCGAUGGAUAGGGGUUCUGAGAGGAAGGUCCCCCACAUUGGUACUGAGACACGGACCAAACUCCUACGGGAGGCAGCAGUGAGGAAUAUUGGUCAAUGGGCGAGAGCCUGAACCAGCCAAGUAGCGUGAAGGAUGAAGGUCCUAUGGAUUGUAAACUUCUUUUAUAGUAGAAUAAAGUGAUCCACGUGUGGAUUUUUGUAUGUAUUUACAUGAAUAAGGAUCGGCUAACUCCGUGCCAGCAGCCGCGGUAAGGAGUAGUACACG
rnacentral:rRNA from 1 species